rnacentral:rRNA from 1 species
AAAGGAAUUGACGGGGGCCCGCACAAGCGGUGGAUCAUGUGGUUUAAUUCGAUGCUACGCGAAAAACCUUACCUAGGCUUGACAUCCCGCGCUAACCCAUGAAAGUGGGCGUUCCCUUCGGGGACGCGGAGACAGGUGCUGCAUGGCUGUCGUCAGCUCGUGUUGUGAGAUGUUGGGUUAAGUCCCGCAACGAGCGCAACCCUCGUCGGUAGUUACCAGCAUUAAGUUGGGCACUCUACCGAGACCGCUGGGCUAUAAGCCAGAGGAAGGUGGGGAUGACGUCAAGUCCUCAUGGCCUUUAUGUCUAGGGCUACACACGUGAUACAAUGGGAGGUACAAACCGUUGCCAGCUCGCGAGAGUUAGCUAAUCGUAAAAAACCUCCCUCAGUUCGGAUUGGAGUCUGCAACUCGACUCCAUGAAGCUGGAAUCGCUAGUAAUCGCGGAUCAGCACGCCGCGGUGAAUACGUUCCCGGGCCUUGUACACACCGCCCGU